ensembl:lncRNA
AUGGUCUCCUCAUCCUUUCUCUUCUGUCUUCACAUGGUCUCCUCAUCUAUUCUCUUCUAUCUUCACAUGGUCUCCUCAUCUAUUCUCUUCUAUCUUUACAUGGUCUCCUCAUCUAUUCUCUUCUGUCUUCACGUGGUCUCCUCAUUCUUUCUCUUCUAUCUUCACAUGGUCUCCUCAUCCUUUCUCUUCUAUCUUCACAUGGUCUCCUCAUCUAUUCUCUUCUGUCUUCACAUGGUCUCCUCAUCUAUUCUCUUCUGUCUUCACAUGGUCUCCUCAUCUAUUCUCUUCUGUCUUCACAUGGUCUCCUCAUCCAUUCUCUUCUAUCUUCACAUGGUCUCCUCGUCCUUUCUCUUCUGUCUUCACAUGGUCUCCUCAUCUAUUCUCUUCUGUCUUCACAUGGUCUCCUCAUCCUUUCUCUUCUAUAUUCACAUGGUCUCCUCAUCCAUUCUCUUCUAUCUUCACAAGGUCUCCUCAUCCUUUCUCUUCUGUCUUCACAUGGUCUCCUCAUCCUUUCUCUUCUAUCUUCACAUGGUCUCCUCAUCUAUUCUCUUCUGUCUUCACAUGGUCUCCUCAUCCAUUCUCUUCUAUCUUCACAUGGUCUCCUCGUCCUUUCUCUUCUGUCUUCACAUGGUCUCCUCAUCUAUUCUCUUCUGUCUUCACAUGGUCUCCUCAUCCUUUCUCUUCUGUCUUCACGUGGUCUCCUCAUCCAUUCUCUUCUAUCUUCACAUGGUCUCCUCAUCCUUUCUCUUCUGUCUUCACAUGGUCUCCUCAUCUAUUCUCUUCUGUCUUCACGUGGUCUCCUCAUCCUUUCUCUUCUAUCUUCACGUGGUCUCCUCAUCCUUUCUCUUCUAUCUUCACAUGGUCUCCUCGUCCUUUCUCUUCUAUCUUCACGUGGCCUCCUCGUCCUUUCUCUUCUGUCUUCACGUGGCCUCCUCAUCCUUUCUCUUCUAUCUUCACGUGGUCUCCUCAUCCAUUCUCUUCUGUCUUCACAUGGUCUCCUCAUCCUUUCUCUUCUGUCUUCACAUGGUCUCCUCAUCCUUUCUCUUCUGUCUUCACAUGGUCUCCUCAUCCUUUCUCUUCUAUCUUCACAUGGUCUCCUCGUCCUUUCUCUUCUAUCUUCACGUGGUCUCCUCAUCCAUUCUCUUCUAUCUUCACGUGGUCUCCUCGUCCUUUCUCUUCUAUCUUCACGUGGCCUCCUCAUCCUUUCUCUUCUGUCUUCACAUGGUCUCCUCAUCCUUUCUCUUCUGUCUUCACAUGGUCUCCUCAUCCUUUCUCUUCUGUCUUCACAUGGUCUCCUCGUCCUUUCUCUUCUAUCUUCACAUGGUCUCCUCAUCCUUUCUCUUCUGUCUUCACGUGGUCUCCUCAUCCUUUCUCUUCUGUCUUCACGUGGUCUCCUCACCCUUUCUCUUCUGUUUUCACGUGGCCUCCUCGUCCUUUCUCUUCUGUUUUCACGUGGUCUCCUCGUCCUUUCUCUUCUGUCUUCAUGUGGUCUCAUCCUUUCCCUUCUGUCUUCACGUGGCCCCCUCAUUUUUUCUCUUCUGUCUUCACGUGGUCUCCUCGUCCUUUCCCUUCUGUCUUCAUGUGGCCUCCUCGUCCUUUCUCUUCUGUCUUCACGUGGCCUCCGCAUCCUUUCUCUUGUCUUCACGUUGCCUCCUCAUCCUUUAUCUUCUGUCUUCACAUGGCCUCCUCAUCCUUUCUCUUCUACAUAUAGUUGCCGUUCUAAGGACUACCCCAAAUCUAAGACGAUCUCAUCUCCAGACCCUUAACUUAAUGGCAAAGGCCUUUUUCCAAAUCAGCUCACAUCACAGGUGCCUGGGGCUGGGAAUUGGAUAUACGUUGUGGGCAGCACUCAGCCCACUGCAGAUGGGAGCAUUUGAGCUUCAAAAGUCAUUAUGGUAG